rnacentral:misc_RNA from 1 species
UCCAGCGUGUGCAGUGCAC